rnacentral:rRNA from 1 species
UACGGAGGGUGCAAGCGUUAUCCGGAUUCACUGGGUUUAAAGGGUGCGUAGGAGGGCAGGUAAGUCAGUGGUGAAAUCCCCAAGCUUAACUUGGGAACUGCCGUUGAUACUAUCUGUCUUGAAUACCGUGGAGGUGAGCGGAAUAUGUCAUGUAGCGGUGAAAUGCUUAGAUAUGACAUAGAACAUCGAUUGCGAAGGCAGCUCGCUACACUAUGAUUGACACUGAGGCACGAAAGCGUGGGGAUCAAACAGG